AUUUUGGUGGGAGUCACUCAGGAGGGAUAUUAAUUACUCUGUCUGUGCAGUUUCGAAGGUUCCUCAUAAACUUCCGUGUGGAUUGUUACAGCCACUUCCUAUACCUAGUAUCCCAUGGUCUCAUUUAUCGAUGGAUUUCAUUGUUGAACUGCCUAGUUCCAAUGGAUAUACAACCAUCCUCAUGGUAGUUGACUGUUUUUCCAAAAUGGCACACUUUACUCUACUUAAAAAAUUGCCAUAGUCUCAGGAUCUGGUGCACAUAUUUAUACCCGAUAUUAUCAGUCUACAUGGUAUUCCUCAAAAUAUUGUGUCUGACAGGGGUUUCCGGUUUGUAUCACGGUUCUGGAGGGCAUUCAAUAAACAGUUGGCCAUUGAAAUGUCAUUCUCAUCUGCUUACCAUUCCCAAACUAAUGGUACGGCUGAAAGAACGAACCAAUCACUUGAGCUGUAUUUACGUUGCUUUGUUAAUAGUACACAGUCUAACUGGGCUGAAUUAUUGUCCUGGGGCGAAAUUGCAAGGAAAAACGCUACCCAUGACUCGCCUGGGCAUCGUCAGUUUUUUCUCAAUACGGGUCGUCAUCCUGCUGUUCUCCCUGCUGUGUUUUCUGAUACAUCUACUCUGGAUGAUCACCUCACCUCUAUUCGUGAUACCUGGACUAAGGUUCACCCCGCUUUUGAAACUGCGGCUGCUCGCUGUAGCAGAUGGCACUGAGCUGUCCUGAAAAUUGCAUAUGUGUAACUGUAUUCGUGUAAAUUGCAGGUUUAUAGGUGUCUAAAUAACGUGUAUUCGUCUGAUUG